rnacentral:rRNA from 1 species
GGACUACUGGGGUAUCUAAUCCUGUUUGCUCCCCACGCUUUCGCGCCUCAGCGUCAGUCUCGGUCCAGAGCGCCGCCUUCGCCACCGGUGUUCUUCCCAAUAUCUACGAAUUUCACCUCUACACUGGGAAUUCCACGCUCCUCUCCCGAUCUCUAGCAAGCCCGUUUCAAGCGCAAUUCCCAGGUUGAGCCCGGGGCUUUCACGCCUGACAAAACUCGCCGCCUGCGCGCCCUUUACGCCCAGUAAAUCCGAACAACGCUCGCCCCCUUCGUAUUACCGCGGCUGCUGGCAC